rnacentral:rRNA from 1 species
UACAGAGGGGGCAAGCGUUAUUCGGAAUUAUUGGGCGUAAAGGGCGCGUAGGCGGCUUAGCAAGUGACGGGUGAAAUCCCUCGGCUUAACCGAGGAACUGCCUGUCAAACUGCAUGGCUUGAGACCGGGAGAGGUGAGUGGAAUUCCCAGUGUAGCGGUGAAAUGCGUAGAUAUUGGGAGGAACACCAGUGGCGAAGGCGGCUCACUGGACCGGUACUGACGCUGAUGCGCGAAAGCGUGGGGAGCGAACAGG